AACCCCAAAAUAACUUAAUCUAUCUAUUUCCCUUUAAGAAUUUACCCCAAAACAAGCCCAACGUCCAAAAAGCCGCCCUAGCCCACUCCAUUUUAGCCGACCCAGCCCACACACCUAUUCUUUCUUCUCUUACACAGCAUACAAACAUCAAUAGUAAUAUUGACACCAAAUAGCUUUCACGGCAACAACAGCUAUAGCAACAGUGUUAUCAUCAACAACACCAACGCGUUCAAUAACCAAUGUCAAAAUCGAUCUCAACGCUGUAACACAACAACGUCAAUUUCAACAUCCAGCAAACAACCCGACAACAACAGCUGUUCAUUUAUUAAUUUACCCUCCUGUUCAGCCAUCCAUGGCUAAAAUCAUAAAACUUUCAUUCCCAGUUUGUGAUUCACUGUAUUGGGCAAAGAAUUAAUUUCCAACGUUUCUCUUCUUUGUCUUACUGUGGACCUCAAAUUUUCAAGAAAACCAAUUCCAAAAUUUGAAUUUGAAAUGCAUUCUUUUAAAUUCGAAAAUCCUAAUUUCUGCCCCCUCUCCAAUAUCUCCUAUAAAUAGACGUUGAGAGAUAAGGGAAAGAAGGAGGAUUUUGGGAAAAAAUUUAGAGGUUUUAGAGGCACAUACUUCUUACCUCACGCGACCAAAAUCCUCUAAGAACACUCUAAAAAUCAAAAUUCGACGUCCUCACAUUGUAGUGGUGGAAACUUCGUUGUGAUAAGCUCAAGGUUCUCGGUUCGCUGCUCACAAUAAGAACUCGUUUGAGUCCUUUUUGGACUCUUUCCUUGCAUCCUCGUUUGGUCCAACCCAACAUCGAGUCAAAGCCUAAAGGCAAAGUCUUAAAAGGACAGUAUUUGCACCAAUAUACAGUAAUAUACAUGUCAGAGAGGUUGAUAUACGUGUGAUACUCUGCGAAUAUGGGGAAAGGAAGCUGAUUAUACAAGUGGAGGGCUAAGUUAUGUGUACAUGACUGAAAUACGGUCAUAUAUGCACUAGAUAUGCAGGAAAACGAGAGGUAUAUAGCUGUGAUAUACAACUGAUAUACCAGUUGUUGGAAUGGAUUCAAGAGUCCAUAAGCUGGACAGUUUACUAACGGACCAGCAAAGGCCCAAAUCUUAAAACUUUUGCUCAUUUUUUUCUUGUAUUUAUUCAUUAUUCAUGUUACUUGUAGUUAAGGGUGGGCGUUCGAUCAGUUCGGUCUGAUUAUUUAAUAUCGGUUUGGUUUAUCAGUUUUCAUAUUGAUAAAAAUAACAUUUGUAACCAAAACGAAAUAAAUUCGGUUCGGUUCAGUUAUUUCAGAUUUUUAUUUCGGUUUGAAA